AUUGAACGCUGGCGGCAGGCUUAACACAUGCAAGUCGAACGGAGUGGCGCACGGGUGAGUAAUGUAUAGCUAAUCUGCCCUACACUAGAGGACAACAGUUGGAAACGACUGCUAAUACUCUAUAGUGUAGGAUGAGGCUAUAUUGUAUCAGCUAGUUGGUGAGGUAAUGGCUCACCAAGGCUAUGACGCAUAACUGGUCUGAGAGGAUGAUCAGUUAAAACGGAACUGGGACAACGGCCAGACUCCUUCGGGGGGCAGCAGGAGGGGAUAUUGCUUAAAGGGGGAAACCCUGAAGCAGCAACGCCGCGUGGAGGAUGACACUUUUCGGAGCGUAAACUCCUUUUGUUAGGGAAGCGGUACCUAACGAAUAAGCACCGGCUAACUCCGUGCCAGCAGCCGCGGUAAUAC
rnacentral:rRNA from 1 species